rnacentral:piRNA from 1 species
UGUGAGUUGUAACUUGCUUGGAAACCUGA